CUUGAUCGACCCGAGCAGCAGCGGACGGUCGGCGGGCCGGUCCUGCCCGUAGGUGGCCAGCAGGGCCUGCGCCUC
rfam:Micromonospora nigra strain DSM 43818 genome assembly, contig: Ga0070616_13